rnacentral:tRNA from 1 species
GCGCCUGUAGCUCAGCUGGAUAGAGUAUCUGACUACGAAUCAGGAGGCCGCAGGUUCGAAUCCUGCCAGGCGCACCA